rnacentral:rRNA from 1 species
AAUGGAAAAAUCCGGCUAAGUACAAAGGUGUGAGUGAUAGGCAAAUCCGUCACUAUUAGCUGAAGUACGAAUGGGAGCGAAGAAAAGUAGCGAAGUUUCUGAAUCCACACUGUCAAGAAAAGCCGCUAUUGCGUUAUACGUACCCGUACCGCAAACCGACACAGGUAGACGAGGAGAAAAUCCACAGACCGACGGGAGAAGUGUUGUUAAGGAACUCGGCAAAAUGACCCCGUAACUUAGGGAUAAGGGGAGCCAACGCAAGUUGGUCACAGAAAAGAGGCUCAAGCGACUGUUUAGCAAAAACAUAGGUCUAUGCGAAACCGUAAGGUGAUGUAUAUGGGCUGACACCUGCCCGGUGCUGGAAGGUCAAAAGGAGAGGUUAGCGUAAGCGAAGCUUUGAAUUCAAGCCCCAGUAAACGGCGGCCGUAACUAUNACGGUCCUAAGGUAGCGAAAUUCCUUGUCAGGUAAGUUCUGACCCGCACGAAAGGUGUAACGAUUUGAGCACUGUCUCGACAACACGCCCGGUGAAAUUGAAGAACCAGUGAAGAUACUGGUUACCCGCAACAGGACGGAAAGACCCCAUGGAGCUUUACUGCAGCUUAAUAUUGGGAUUCGGUAUUGUAUGUACAGGAUAGGAGGGAGACUAAGAAGCUAGCACGCCAGUGUUGGUGGAGUCGAUGGUGGGAUACCUCUCUUAUAAUACUGAAUUUCUAACCUACUUCCGUGAUCCGGAAGAGGGACAUUGUUAGGCGGGCAGUUUGACUGGGGCGGUCGCCUCCGAAAGAGUAACGGAGGCGCUCAAAGGUCUUCUCAGAAUGAUUGGAAACCAUUCAAAGAGUGUAAAGGCAAAAGAAGGCUUGACUGCGAGAGUGACAACUCGAGCAGGUACGAAAGUAGGACUUAGUGAUCCGGUGGUAACAAGUGGGAGUGCCAUCGCUUAACGGAUAAAAGCUACCCUGGGGAUAACAGGCUUAUCUCCCCCAAGAGUUCACAUCGACGGGGAGGUUUGGCACCUCGAUGUCGGCUCAUCGCAUCCUGGGGCUGUAGUAGGUCCCAAGGGUUGGGCUGUUCGCCCAUUAAAGCGGUACGCGAGCUGGGUUCAGAACGUCGUGAGACAGUUCGGUCCCUAUCCGUUGUGGGCGUAGGAAAUUUGAUAGGAGCUGUCCUUAGUACGAGAGGACCGGGAUGGACGAACCUCUGGUGAAUCUGUUGGUAACCAAUGCCACAGCAGAAUAGCCAAGUUUGGAACGGAUAAACGCUGAAGGCAUCUAAGCGUGAAGCCAACCUAAAGACUAGAUUUCCCAUGCGAAAGCAGUAAGACUCCUUGUAGACGACAAGGUUGAUAGGCCAGAGAUGUAAGCACAGUAAUG